CAGCCAGCCAGCCAGGCAGGCAGCAAGUCAGGCAGCCAGUCAGCCAGCCAGCCAGCCAACCAGAAAGCCAGCCAACCAGUCAGUCAGUCCCUGACCCUCAGCAGGUAGAUGUGUUAGUCCCUGUGUUAGUCCCUGACCCUCAGCAGGUAGAUGUGUUAGUCCCUGUGUUAGUCCCUGUGUUAGUCCCUAACCCUCAGCAGGUAGAUGUGUUAGUCCCCGUGUUAGUCCCUGACCCUCAGCAGGUAGAUGUGUUAGUCCCUGUGUUAGUCCUGACCCUCAGCAGGUAGAUGUGUUAGUCCCUGUGUUAGUCCUGACCCUCAGCAGGUAGAUGUGUUAGUCCCUGUGUUAGUCCUGACCCUCAGCAGGUAGAUGUGUUAGUCCCUGUGUUAGUCCUGACCCUCAGCAGGUAGAUGUGUUAGUCCCUGUGUUAGUCCUGACCCUCAGCAGGUAGAUGUGUUAGUCCCUGUGUUAGUCCCUGUGUUAGUCCCUGUGUUAGUCCCUGACCCUCAGCAGGUAGAUGUGUUAGUACUGACCAUUAGAGGUGCUAUAAGGUCUUUGGUCCGUAGAACAACCUUUAGACAGGUAUGGAGCACAGAGGUCAGGCCAUAGAGGUAGAUAGAGAUCCCUAGAUGGGCUGUCACCACCUAGAACAACUUUUAGAGAUGUAUGGAGUACAGAGGUUAGGCCAUAGAGAGAUGAAUAUAUUGAAUUGAUUUGAAUUGAUUUGGGUUGAAACAAAUGUCCAACAGGAUGCACAUUGAAUCACUAGAGAAUAUCA
rnacentral:lncRNA from 1 species